rnacentral:rRNA from 1 species
AGUGAACGCUGGCGGUAGGCCUAACACAUGCAAGUCGAACGGCAGCACAGUAAGAGCUUGCUCUUACGGGUGGCGAGUGGCGGACGGGUGAGAAAUACAUCGGAAUCUACUUUUUCGUGGGGGAUAACGUGGGGAAACUUACGCUAAUACCGCAUACGACCUACGGGUGAAAGCAGGAGAUCUUCGGACCUUGCGCGAUUGAAUGAGCCGAUGUCGGAUUAGCUAGUUGGCGGGGUAAAGGCCCACCAAGGCGACGAUCCGUAGCUGGUCUGAGAGGAUGAUCAGCCACACUGGAACUGAGACACGGUCCAGACUCCUACGGGAGGCAGCAGUGGGGAAUAUUGGACAAUGGGCGCAAGCCUGAUCCAGCCAUACCGCGUGAGUGAAGAAGGCCUUCGGGUUGUAAAGCCCUUUUGUUGGGAAAGAAAAGCAGCAGGUGAAUACCCCGCUGUUCUGACGGUACCCAAAGAAUAAGCACCGGCUAACUUCGUG